GAAUUUUAUAUAAAUUUUAUUAAAUUUUUAGAUUUAAAUUUGAGUAAUAAAAUUUAUAUUUAGUUGGGAGGAUAGUUAAAUUAUAAAAACUUUAAUUAAUAUUAAGAUAUUGAUAAAUAAUAAAAAGAGUUAUUUAUAAAUUGUAAAAGAAUUAAUUACCUUAGGGAUAACAGCGUAAUAUUUUUGAAGAGUUCAUAUUGAUAAAAAUGUUUGC
rnacentral:rRNA from 1 species